AAAUAAUUAGCUGGGCAUGGUGGUGCAAGCCUGUAGUCCCAGCUACUUGGGAGGCUGAGGCAGGAGAAUUGCUUGAACCUAGAGGGUAGAGGUUACAGUGAGCCAAGAUCGUGUCAUUGCACUCCAGCCUGGGCAAAAGAGCAAAACUCCGUCUCAAAACACACACACACACACACACACACACAAACAAAAAAACCCAGAAAGGAAAUCUUCUGUUGGCACAGAUGUGGAAAAACUGGAACCUUUGUGCACUGUUAGUGGAAAUGUCAAAUGGUAUAGCUGUUACUGAAAAUAGUUCCUCGAAAAACUAUCAUACAAUUACCAUAUGAUCUAGCAAUUCCACUUCUGGGUUUAUACCCAAAAGGAUAAAAGCAGGGUCUUGAAGGGAUGCUUGUACACCUAUGUUCACAGCAGAUUAAUAACAGCUAAAAGAUGGAAGCCACCCAAGCGUCCACUGACAGAACUGACAGACAAUCCCGUAACAGGAUUCCCCUGAGAAUGGAUGUGGUACCAGAUAAAAUGAACUAUCACUCAGCCUUCAAAGGAAAGGAAAUUCGGACAUGCUACAACAUGGAUGUCAUCAAGGGUGCCCUUGGAGGACAUUUUGCUAAGUAGAAUAAGCCAGUGGAAAAAGACAGAUACCGUGUGAUUCCACUCUAUGAGGUACAUAGAGGAGUCAAAGUCAGAGAGACCAGAAGCAGAAUGGAAGUUCCCAGGGGCUGGGGGAGGGACAAUAGGGAGUUAUUGUUUAAUGGGUACAGAGUUUCACACAAUAAAAAGAGAUGGAGAUGAACAGUGGUGGUGGCUGCACAGUAUUCUGAAUUUAUUUAUUUUUGAGACAGGAUCUUUCUCUGUCACCCAGGCUGGAGUACAGUGGUACAAUCAUAGUUCACUGCAGCCUCCAACUCCUGGGCUCCAGCGAUCCUCCCACCUCAGCCUCCCGGGUGGCUGGGACCACAGGCAUGUGCAACCACGCCUGGCUGAUUUUAAAAAGUUCUGAUACAUACUACAACAUGGAUGCACCUUGAAAACAUUGUAUCAAAUGAAAUAAACCAUUCACCAAAGGGCACAUACUGUAUGAUUCCAUUUCUAUGAGGUACUUAGAGUAGUCAAAGUCAUAGAGACAGAAAGAAGGAUAGAGGCUACCAGGGCCUGGGAAACCAGAGGUGCCAGAGAGGGGGCUGAGGAACUAGUGUUUAAUAGGGAUAGAGUUUCCCUGGGGAAGAUGAAAAGGUUCAGUGGAUGGAUGGUGAUGGUUAAACAAUGCUCUGAAUGUACUUCAUGCCACUGAACUGUACGCUUGAAAAUGUGUAAAAUUGUAAAUUUUGUGUUUUAUAUAUAUAUAUAUAUUUUUUUGCCAUGACAAAAAUAAAAGUUUAAAAAAACCCUUAACACUUAAAAGAAUCCAGAACAUCUGAACAACAGUUAGCACUGCUAAUCCUGAAUGCUGAUAUAGCUGGAGCCCAGGCAGCAGAGAUGAGCCUGCCCAGGCUCCGGGUGCAGCCUCGCAGAGCUGUGGGACCAUGUUCAGGAGUCCUGACUUUGUCCUAGAAUAAUGGGGUUCCACUGAGAAUAAAUUUGAGGACUCAGACUGGCGGAGGUGU
rnacentral:lncRNA from 10 species